rnacentral:rRNA from 1 species
CAUGCAAGUCGAACGGUGAACACGGAGCUUGCUCUGUGGGAUCAGUGGCGAACGGGUGAGUAACACGUGAGCAACCUGCCCCUGACUCUGGGAUAAGCGCUGGAAACGGCGUCUAAUACUGGAUACGAGACGUGAUCGCAUGGUCAACGUCUGGAAAGAAUUUUGGUUGGGGAUGGGCUCGCGGCCUAUCAGCUUGUUGGUGAGGUAAUGGCUCACCAAGGCGUCGACGGGUAGCCGGCCUGAGAGGGUGACCGGCCACACUGGGACUGAGACACGGCCCAGACUCCUACGGGAGGCAGCAGUGGGGAAUAUUGCACAAUGGGCGAAAGCCUGAUGCAGCAACGCCGCGUGAGGGAUGACGGCCUUCGGGUUGUAAACCUCUUUUAGCAGGGAAGAAGCGAAAGUGACGGUACCUGCAGAAAAAGCGCCGGCUAACUACGUGCCAGCAGCCGCGGUAAUACGUAGGGCGCAAGCGUUAUCCGGAAUUAUUGGGCGUAAAGAGCUCGUAGGCGGUUUGUCGCGUCUGCUGUGAAAUCCGGAGGCUCAACCUCCGGCCUGCAGUGGGUACGGGCAGACUAGAGUGCGGUAGGGGAGAUUGGAAUUCCUGGUGUAGCGGUGGAAUGCGCAGAUAUCAGGAGGAACACCGAUGGCGAAGGCAGAUCUCUGGGCCGUAACUGACGCUGAGGAGCGAAAGGGUGGGGAGCAAACAGGCUUAGAUACCCUGGUAGUCCACCCCGUAAACGUUGGGAACUAGUUGUGG